AAGGCACAGCCCCUGCUCUAGGUCUCUGCAGAAAUGGUCUCUGGUGUACGAGGAUUUGUGAAGGCCUGCAGUUGGCAGAAUGAAUCUGUGGAGAUGGUUUAAAAGAACGGUUUCACUGAAGACAUGAACAUCUAGAGAGUCACAUGUCUAUGGGGAAUUGGAAUGCUGAGGAAUGGAAACAAAUGGAAAUAUAUUACACAAGUGGAACUUCAGCUGUGACCUGAAAUGUAUUACCUAAGAACUCUAUGAAGAUGAAGAAAGACCAUCUUCUCUGGGACUUGGGCUCUCACGCGUAUUAGGUGCACAGAAUGGAGCCUGUCCCAUUGUAGGUGCCCGAGAAGUCUUUGUUAAUUUGAAUUCCCGCCCGAUGGAAUUGUUACUCUAGUACCGCAUUUCAGCAAGGCUCUUCUCGAACAAAUAGCACAAUGUCAAACAGGUCUGGCCACGUGGCACUAAUGGACAACCCAUACAUUUGGAGAGACUCCAAGAAAUCCAUCCCAAGCACUGAAUGACCCAGCCACUGAUAGGAGCUACUGAUUUCACGUGAAGUGAUCUGCUGCUUUUUGUGCUCUGAAGGUGCUGAUUUCCAGUGUCUGCAGUGUUACAUCCAUGAGUUCUUCCAGCUUUGAAACUGAGCGCUCCAAGCAAGAGGAUCCCUUUUCUUCUGCUGCUAUGCCAGGGAAACAUUGAGACUACUUUGGCCAAAAUAACAUUUCAGCCAGUUGACAUCCUAACUCAGAGAGGCAGCUAGUCGUGUUAACAAAGAAAACGAUGUUUGGUCAUAAAGGAGUGUGAUGAAACUUUCGCUUUAUCUUUUUCUAUCUCAAUACAAACAUAUGGAGACGAGUUAUUUUCUUAAAGUACUUGUCACCUGCUUUGUGAUUGUCAUUUUACUUGGCUGCCUUCUCUGUGAGAUUAUAGGCUUCAUGAGGACAGUUUUCCUCCUCAUUGUAUCCU